rnacentral:rRNA from 1 species
UACAGAGGUGGCAAGCGUUGUUCGGAAUUACUGGGCGUAAAGGGCGAGUAGGUGGCCAUCUAAGUCAGACGUGAAAUCCCCCGGCUUAACCUGGGAACUGCGUCUGAUACUGGACGGCUUGAGUAUGGGAGAGGAACGUAGAAUUCCAGGUGUAGCGGUGAAAUGCGUAGAUAUCAGGAAGAACACCGAUGGCGAAGGCGGAUCUCUGGGCCUUACCUGACGCUCAGGCGCGAAAGCUAGGGGAGCGAACAGG